UACGUAGGGGGCAAGCGUUGUCCGGAAUCAUUGGGCGUAAAGAGCGUGUAGGCGGCUCGAUAAGUCUGCUGUGAAAGUCCAGGGCUCAACCCUGGAAGGCCGGUGGAAACUGUCGGGCUAGAGUCCGGAAGAGGAGUGUGGAAUUCCUGGUGUAGCGGUGAAAUGCGCAGAUAUCAGGAAGAACACCUAUGGCGAAGGCAGCACUCUGGGACGGUACUGACGCUGAGACGCGAAAGCGUGGGGAGCGAACAGG
rnacentral:rRNA from 1 species